rnacentral:rRNA from 1 species
CCUACGGGUGGCAGCAGUGAGGAAUAUUGGUCAAUGGACGAGAGUCUGAACCAGCCAAGUAGCGUGAAGGAUGACUGCCCUAUGGGUUGUAAACUUCUUUUAUAUGGGAAUAAAAUGUUCCACGUGUGGGAUUUUGUAUGUACCAUAUGAAUAAGGAUCGGCUAACUCCGUGCCAGCAGCCGCGGUAAUACGGAGGAUCCGAGCGUUAUCCGGAUUUAUUGGGUUUAAAGGGAGCGUAGGUGGAUUGUUAAGUCAGUUGUGAAAGUUUGCGGCUCAACCGUAAAAUUGCAGUUGAAACUGGCAGUCUUGAGUACAGUAGAGGUGGGCGGAAUUCGUGGUGUAGCGGUGAAAUGCUUAGAUAUCACGAAGAACUCCGAUUGCGAAGGCAGUUCACUGGACUGCAACUGACACCGAGGCUCGAAAGUGUGGGUAUCAAACAGGAUUAGAUACCCGAGUAGUC